rnacentral:rRNA from 1 species
GGCUCAGGACGAACGCUGGCGGCGUGCUUAACACAUGCAAGUCGAGCGAGGUCCACAUCGGUGGCAACACCUUUGUGGCCCUAGCGGCGAACGGGUGAGUAACACGUGAGGAACCUGCCCCGAACUUCGGGAUAACCCGGGGAAACUCGGGCUAAUACCGAAUACCUCCACCAUGGCGCAUGCCGAGGUGCAGAAAGAUUUAUCGGUUCGGGAGGGUCUCGCGGCCUAUCAGCUAGUUGGUGGGGUAACGGCCUACCAAGGCAGCGACGGGUAGCUGGUCUGAGAGGACGAUCAGCCACACUGGGACUGAGACACGGCCCAGACUCCUACGGGAGGCAGCAGUGGGGAAUUUUGCGCAAUGGGCGAAAGCCUGACGCAGCAACGCCGCGUGCGGGAAGAAGGCCCUCGGGUUGUAAACCGCUUUCAGCAGGAACGAAACUGACGGUACCUGCAGAAGAAGCCCCGGCCAACUACGUGCCAGCAGCCGCGGUGAUACGUAGGGGGCGAGCGUUGUCCGGAUUUAUUGGGCGUAAAGAGCUCGUAGGCGGUUCGAUAAGUCAGGUGUAAAAACUCCAGGCUCAACUUGGAGAGGCCACCUGAUACUGUCGUGACUAGAGUCCGGUAGAGGAGCAAUUCCUGGUGUAGCGGUGAAAUGCGCAGAUAUCAGGAGGAACACCAGCGGCGAAGGCGGUGCUCUGGGCCGGAACUGACGCUGAGGAGCGAAAGCGUGGGGAGCGAACAGGAUUAGAUACCCUGGUAGUCCACGCCGUAAACGUUGGGCACUAGGUGUGGGACCCUGUCAACGGGUUCUGUGCCGCAGCUAACGCAUUAAGUGCCCCGCCUGGGGAGUACGGCCGCAAGGCUAAAACUC